rnacentral:rRNA from 1 species
GACAGAGGGUGCAAACGUUGUUCGGAAUUACUGGGCGUAAAGCGCGCGUAGGCGGUUUGCUAAGUCAGAUGUGAAAGUCCACGGCUCAACCGUGGAAGUGCAUUUGAAACUGUCAGACUUGAGUACUGGAGGGGGUGGUGGAAUUCCCGGUGUAGAGGUGAAAUUCGUAGAUAUCGGGAGGAAUACCGGUGGCGAAGGUGACCACCUGGCCAGAUACUGACGCUGAGGUGCGAAAGCGUGGGGAGCAAACAGG